GUCGAGGCUUCAGCAACUCCUGCUCUUCACAGCAUUUUCUGCCGCGUUCUGCGCCCCAGGUGACAGCGUGCCACCCACUCAGUCGUCCUGCCUCGGGGCCUCUCGCCCACAUCCGGUGCUCCACCCUCAUGUUCGCGUCCACCUUCACACUUCUCUGGGGUCCCAUGAGUCGUCACACCUGGCACUGCAGGGGGAAGUCAGAUUCGAUCUGUAAAACAGAUGGAAGGCCAGGAAACAGGGCAGGAAGAACAACCUGAACACAAAAGAGUGGGCCCAGACACGGGACGUCUGAGGCCAGGUGGAAAUCCAUCUUCCAGUGGAGCAGCCGACCAGGGGCCAACUGGGAAGGCAGUGGUUGGCAGCCAGUGCUUGGAGGCAUUCAGAGCACGGUCCCUUUGAGGGGUCACUGUGCCCAGGUGCUGGUGGGCUCAUGGCCUGAAGACCUUUGGCCUGGGACUGACUUCAGCCUGAUGUCCUGGUGGCAUAUCACUUGCAGAGCUUUUUUCUUCUGGAGAGUUCUCUUGUUGAGAGGGAGCAAAGGCUACCACGCCCUAGAACAAGAAAAUGCCGGAAGUUGGAAGAGCUGGCCAUGCAAAUCCAACUUUUUUUUGACAGACUUUGAGGGAGAGCUGAAAUUGAUGAAAACAGCUCUUAACACCAGCAGCGAAAUUAACAAAAAUCUGUCUAAAGAAGUGUGUGAGCUAAAGGAUCCCCUAAAACUACGUCAAGGAGAAAAUCAAAGCUGAAAAAUCGGCUUGUCAAUUUGUGUCACCAAAAGGACACAAUUGAAAAAACUUGCCAGAGGACAGGCCUCCCUGGACAUGGCACGAGAUGAGGAGGGGACUGCCAGCAAGUCCCAGAGGACACCCAGGUCCUGAGUCCUGGGCUGAGCUCCUCCAGGCUAAGAACCGGUACCCACCAUUGGAGGGCGGGUAGAGGUGUUAGAAGGACAAGUCAAGCCAUGGUGAGUGGUGUCGUUGGCAGGCCAAGAGCUUCUACAGCAAAAUUCGGGGCUUCCUGGAAGCUCUUCCCUUCCGGGCAACCUUUUCACAGUACCACGGGGUCACUUCCCCGCGCCCAUCCCAGGAGGGCAUACAAGGGAAGCUGGGGAAGAAUGUGGGUCACCUCCUCCAAUGGAGGCAACGUGAACUUCACGAUGUUUGUGAGUUUUCGAUAAUGCUAAAGAAGUGUCCAAGAUUCUAGGCUGGCCACUUCCUUGGCCGUGGGCCCCCCCAGCUCCCGGGACUGCUGGAGCUCAUGUGAGGUGCGAACCCCAACAAUCGGGCCCACCUGCGGCUCAGGCUGAGGUGGGGUGCAAAGCCUAGGGCUGUGGCCCAGGACGGUGCUCGAGGUUGGCAGUGUCUAAAAACGUUACAACUGCCAUGUGACCCAGCUAUUCCACUCAGCUUCCUCCACUGAAGAAUUGGGAUUCCCAGGACACGCCCUCCCUCCCAUCCUGUUAAAAACAGCCACUCCGGCCACCGCUACGCUUUGCACCACAUUCAGCGUCAUCAGUGGCCUGUCCCACAUUCAAGGACUUCUUGCCAAGGAGCUCUUGAGCAUUUUUCCCCAAAAAUCUGUCCUUGGAGCUUUUGCUAUAAACUCUGUGGUUUGUUUGACCAAGUUACCGAUUUCGACCAAGGCCAAGAAAUAUCAGGAGAGCCCAAAACAGGCUCAGGCAUGUAUGAAAGGCUAGAGGAGAAAAGAAACAAAAUGCUUUAGAAGGCUGAUUUUUUCAUGAACGAGAAAGGUGAGUGUCUCCAUCUCAACUUACCGAUGGGCUGGAGGUGACGUUUAAAGGAGACUAAGUGAGUUAAUUAAGGAGCAAUCGCAACUAAACCCAACACCACGGGAGAGGGCAGCAUCUCUUGCUCCCGUGCGCCCUUCUCUUCUCUGUCUGCUUCUCCCCACAAUGCAGGUGCUCCUUAAAUUGGGAAGACAUCGCUCCAAGAAUCAGAUCCCUGGGAAAACCAUCCAAUAGGGCGUUGUCAUCCGAAAGUUCCAGAAACCUUGGACAUCAGAGCCAGGUCCAAAUCUGGGAGAUUGUUCCAAGGCUUCAGAAGCUGUCACGUUCUUAUCUAGACAUGACCUUGAAUAGAUAGACGAUCAGAAGAUGGGGGAUCCCACCCUCGUUCUGACCUUUCCAGCUGUCUGACCUUGAGAAAUUCACCCAAGCUCUUAGAACACCGGUUUUCUUAUUUAUUCACUUGCUCAAUUAAUUUUUAUCAUGUGCCCGUUAUGUGCCUAGCAUUAGGAGAAAAGGUUAUUAAUUAAUUGAUUGGCCAAUUAACUAAACAAAUAUUACUGGUGUCAAAAAAUAAAAAUAAAUGUAAACUAAGUGUGUGUGUAGGUGUGAGAUAAAUAGGAAGGAGGUAUAUUGGUCUCUGCCCCAGGUUCCUGGCACAGAGCUCCUGAAACCCUUGUAUUUCCUAAGUGAUGAAAACACUGCGAGCAUCUUUUGUUUCAACAUUUGGGCUUUGACUCUGGUUCCUGACACAAAGAUUUUAAAUCUCUUGGAAUUCCUGGUGACAGGAGCAUCUUUUGCUCUAAUGAGGCGAUGCUUGGUGGGACCCUAAAUGGAGACUGGUCACUAGAAAGACCAAGCCAUGGUUUGAAGUUUGGAAUUUUCAGCCCCACCCCCCAUUCUCCAGGGAGGGGAGGGAGUGGAAAUGGAGAUAAUAAUCGAUCGUGCCUACACGAUAAAACUUCAUAAAAAUCC
rnacentral:lncRNA from 1 species